UAUAAGCAUAAAUUAAUUGCAGAUAUAAUUGGUUAAAAAUGGUGACCUAGUUUCUACCGCACGCCAAAAAGUGCGACUAUCGCAAGUUAGUAUUCGAU
rnacentral:ncRNA from 2 species